rnacentral:rRNA from 1 species
UUGGGAGCUCACUGGGUUCGGAUUCUAUAGAAACUCUGAAGUUAAGCGAGUUUUGGAUAGAGCAAUCCUAAGAUGGGUGACCAACUAGGAAGUUUCUCUUGAGUUCCCACA